rnacentral:tRNA from 1 species
GCCCGGGUGGCGGAACUGGUAGACGCGCAUGAUUCAGGGUCAUGUGGGGGUAACUCCGUGGGGGUUCGAAUCCCUCCCCGGGCACAA